rnacentral:lncRNA from 1 species
CAUGAAGGCUGUCUUCCCAUUGGAAAUGGUUGAACAGUUCCCUAAUAGAGAGAUUUAAACUUUGUGUACAUAGAUGGGUCUGUGUGUAUGAUUUUAAAUAACAUUACAAACACAUUGUGCUUGAGAUGUUUAGAAGGAGAUACCUGAAGAAUUGAAAACUAAAAUAAAACAGAAUGCUAGAGCUGGAAGGGGCAUGUAUUUAUUAUGUUUUUCUAAGUCAGUCAUUAUAGAUUUUAAAAAAAUAAACUGAUGCCAAAAAAAGGGAAAUGUUUUGCUCAAGACUCCAGUUUCCUGCCACUUCCAGCCUAGACCCCCAAAGGGAUUUCAGUGACUUUCACUUACUGCUGCACCACUGCCAACACUUUGUAAAAACGAGGGAGAGAAAAGGCCGUGAGUCAAGCUCAAGAAUACAAAUCAAAAAGAAUUAGAUGCUGCAGAAAAAGCUUCAUUUAUCAGGAAGAACCCAUGUUAGUGGUAUCAUGGUUGUCUUUCACCCUGCCUGGCCCUGCUCAGCUAGGGCUACUGCUUUGAAAUGUCUGUUCUCAGAAAUAGCCUGCUCUGUGUCCAA